CUGGGAAAGGGAAUAGACAGGUUUCCAACAGAAGUGGUGCUCUGAGCACAAGAAAGGAGAAAAAAAAGGAACGCAAGAACAAAUAAAUAAGCAACAAUUUAAAUUAUCUGUAUCUUACCUAGCUUUGGAAAUACUAUUAAAUAUUCUGCAUUGCACUGAGGACAAGCAACUCUAGCAGUACUGUUUCCUCUUUGCUUUUCAUCCACCCAGCGCUGCAGACAAGUCUGAUGCACCCAUUUGGUGGAGCCCCUGCACCUGCAGGGCCGCACCCACUCUGCUGUCCGAUCGUCCUCAUCGGUAGCAAAGCAAACCCAGCAGCUUCUGUAAUCACAGGAAGGAAAAAAAAAGCAGGUACCUGCACAAGCCUUCAACAGAUUAUCCAUCAAAUGUUGACAAACACCUCUAAAGACGGAAUUACAGAAAGCAAUGGUGACCAUGUUCUGACCAUGGUGGCAAAUACAUGGCAAGAGGGGAGCAGCUGUCUUUAAUUUGGAUGGCAUAUGAGAUACCACGAAUCACUGCCACAGGAUACGCUUUGAAAAACAGAACCCCAGCCAUUCAUUGGCAUAACCAAGUGCAAGAGCAAUCCACACAUAAUCCAACUGAAGUCAAGAGAAUAAAGCUUAAAAAUAUGAGUACAUUUUAGCAUUACAGCUCACAUUAGCAGCACAUAAAAAACCCACUGCCACAUAAUUUCAAGUUUUAACAAAGAUUACUAUAAUUCUGUAAUUUAUGCAUUAAACUAACACGAACAAAGGCAUUAAAAAUAAUGAAAUAAUAAUAAAAUCUCAGCAUUUAGCCAGAUUACUAA